ACAUGCUGGUAUAUGUCAGACUCUUAGCAUCACUCUCAUUUCAUACUGCUGUUGAUGAUGUGAAUUUUGGGAAUAUUCUCCCCUAUUGGGUCUUUCUCCAUGACAGAUGAUGUCCUUUGGCUUCGGUUUUCUGCCUAAGAACUAUGGAGUCUCCCUCUGUUGCCCAGGCUGGAGUGCAGUGGUGCACAUGCCUCACACUGUGACACAGCGGGAGAGCCCAGAGCGACAGCUGUUGGAAUGACUGCACUCUUCCUGCUCAAGUCUGACCUUUCCAAGGAAGCAUAGGUCUCCCCUAAACCACCUGCUGCUCCAAGAGCUGAGGACUGCAUAUCCAGAUGAUGGCAUGCUGUCAGGAAAGUGUAUGAAGACCACUACUUCUACCCUGCUAGAGUGCACACAGCCACCAUUGCAGAGCUGCCCAGAACCUUAAGCCCACCCACCUCUAUUAGGACCUUUGUCUCGUCCAAAACUUUCUAAAUCUCAUCCAGGACCUGCCCUGACAUGGGUCUUCAUUUUCAUUCCCUAUUCACCUGAAUUGUUGCCAGGACCAGAAUAAGACUUUUAGAGUCCCUGAGCUCCUCCAUACGUAAAUAGAAAUACCAUUUUAUUUUUUGAACUAACAUAAAGUUCGUAAGUAUGCUGAUAGCAGAAUGGUUUUUCUUUCUAGAUGAUUUAUUGAUUAUAAAAGUCUGGGUGAAUUUAUUAAAGUGAAAAUUUUCCG